rnacentral:lncRNA from 1 species
AAGGGUUCACGGGAACAAGUAGCUUUUGCUCAAAUUCUAUAAAUGUAUUCACUAAAUAUUUGACUAUGAACCUAUUUAUUAUUGUUUAUUAACUUGAAAUGGUUGUACGGACCCAUAAACUUUAAAUUUAUAUCCUCUCUGAUUUUUUGUUGAAGCUGAUUGAUCUGGAUACCUUAUUGUGCAUUGAUACAAAUUUCAUCAGCUUCAUCUUUACAGCUUUAUUGCUGCUUUGAGUUUCUCCCUUGGUGACUCGAACCCAAAAUCUUAGGGUUGGAACUGAGGAGUGAUCACCAUCCGAGCAACUCUCUCUUGUCGAAAUGGUGGCAGAUCAAGAUCUGAUUUUUCUUUGGAAUUGACAAAUUGACUUAGAAUUUAUUGAAUUCUAACAACUCUUAUGUAUGCAUACAGGACUCAGGAGUGGAUGAGGUUGGAAAUUUUGGGCCUACUUGUUCUUCUUUAAUUUGAAUAUGAUUUCAGAAAUGAAAUUCAACUGAUAUUUACUUGCAUCUUCUUUUUCCCAUCCAUGUUUUUGUAGAAAAUAGUGGAAUCGGCAGGGACCCUGUAGUUAAUUAUGUUGUAGUGUAAUUAGUUGGUCACAUAACUGCAAUUAGUUAGAACUUAGAAGUCAGUCUAUAAAUAUAUAGCAGUUUCAUUAGUGUAAUAGGUAAUACAUAUGAAACAAGUUGGAAUUUUGUAUGAAGCACACAAACCAUUAAUAAAUCAAUCUCAUCAAUUCUAGACUAACUGGAGUUGGAAUAAACAACAAAGUAAUUCUCGACACUCAGGAAAGAAGGGUAUUAUGUCUUAAGGAUGUUAACGAGGGGAUAACUCAGUUAUCGAUGCCUCAUUAUGUGAUGAACUAAUAGAUUUACUUUUGGCUAAUUCUCUAGGUCCUGAUGAUCUUGAAUUGUAUUCUUGAAUAAGUGAAAUCUCUGAACUAAUAUCGUUGUGUGUAUAGUAUGCAGGCCCUGAAGGCAGGGGAAGAUUCAGAGAUAGGCUACUGAGCAUGAGAACUACUGCAGCCAUGGUUGGUCUAUCAGAAAUAUUUUCUUGAACGCACAGUAAUGCUAUGUGAAUGCAUCUCAUUAUGUCACGAGCCAUUCCUGAGCUUCCCCUCAACAUGGGGUCUAUCAAAUUUGUAGUUGUUUCUUCGCGCCAGUUCAUCCAAGCCUGUCACAUUUUAAUUCAGAGUUUGAACUCUUACAUUGACAAUGUAAAAGACAUUGAUGCAAAGGAUGGUCUCCCA